AGUGAACGCUGGCGGUAGGCCUAACACAUGCAAGUCGAACGGCAGCACAGUAAGAGCUUGCUCUUACGGGUGGCGAGUGGCGGACGGGUGAGGAAUACAUCGGAAUCUACUUUUUCGUGGGUGAUAACGUAGGGAAACUUACGCUAAUACCGCAUACGACCUACGGGUGAAAGCAGGGGAUCUUCGUACCUUGCGCGAUUGAAUGAGCCGAUGUCGGAUUAGCUAGUUGGCGGGGUAAAGGCCCACCAAGGCGACGAUCCGUAGCUGGUCUGAGAGGAUGAUCAGCCACACUGGAACUGAGACACGGUCCAGACUCCUACGGGAGGCAGCAGUGGGGAAUAUUGGACAAUGGGCGCAAGCCUGAUCCAGCCAUACCGCGUGGGUGAAGAAGGCCUUCGGGUUGUAAAGCCCUUUUGUUGGGAAAGAAAAGCAGCAGGUUAAUACCCCGCUGUUCUGACGGUACCCAAAGAAUAAGCACCGGCUAACUUCGUG
rnacentral:rRNA from 1 species